GGGCCCGUAGGUAAGUGGCAUACCGUACCUUUCGCAUGGGUAAAUUGGCGGUUCGAUUCCGCCCGGGUCCACCA
rnacentral:tRNA from 1 species